GUCAAAGAGACUGCGCGCUUUUCGAGCUAAUUUUCCCGACAAUAUGCAGUUGCAAAAGUCGAACUAUCGGGACCGUGUGCAGUGCUUAGGCAAAAGCUUCCGGAAGUCCCCGAAAAAGCUCGGGAGGGAAAGCUUAAACAGAAUCGCUUUCGCAGAUGCAACUUGGCAAGCUGCACCUACUUACUCGUCCAAAAUGGCGGCGCUGUCGGCGAAAUGCCGAUAAAUCAAAGUUUCCUCAUUUGAAAAAUGCCAAGUGCCCACCGCGACAUUUUAUUACACAGCGGAGGUCAAUAUAUAGUGUUACACAGCUUUUCUUAUAAUUACAUAAUUGACAAAAACGGAUAAACUGUUUUAACAUAAUAUGACUCUAGCUUAGUCACUCAAUCAUAAACAAUUUGUGUAAAAAGGACUCUACCCGAGUCACUCAACCGUCGAAAAGUUAUUGCAACCCGAUCCCGUGUCGCUGGAUGUACAUAAAUACCAGUUUCCAGUUUCCGCCGAUCCGAGGUCCAAGCUGAGUUGGCCCAUGUUGAUACGAGUGCCAGUGUGUGGACUGGGAGAUGUCCGGCCUGACGUUUAUGAAAAGCCAUCGCAGCAUCAAAGCCAAUUAAGAUACCGGGCAGGGCACAUACAAGCUCUAAAGGAAUACGCGGCUAAUUUCUGCGACAAAGCCGACAAACGAUCGAGUCCAACUCCAACUCCAACCCCAAGUCCAAGUCCAAGUCCAUAUCCAAGUCCAGUGUCUGGGGGCAAGAUGCAAGAAGCAAGAAGCAAGAAGCGGCACUUUUGUCGCAAACACAGGCCGUAAAAUUAAGAACUCUGAUUGGUAACAAAUGUUUUUGUUCAUUCGAGUGAUAAAAACGUAGCGAACCGAAAAGAUAUAAAGUUCUCUUUAGUGUCUUGCCAGCGCGGCGAUGAUAAAAUAUUUAAAUGAGCGCCGAAAUGGGAAGGUUUCUUGGCUUGGAUCAGUUUGGAUCGGCUUGGACAUUUAGGAAAUCAGAGAGAGAGAGAGAGAGACACCCAAACCUUAAUGGCCGCGCACACGAACCGGGCCAAACAAGCCGAAACAGUGGGCUUAAACAAGACCAAGGGCAAAAGUGUGAAACACGGAGCGGCGUAACGCCAAUAGCAUUCGUCGAUAACCACGGUGUGUCCGCCGAGCCGAGUAAGUCGGUCGGCUGUCAUGAUUAAACAAAAGUCCAAUGCCAGCUAGGAUAUUAAAUUACAGCCAUAACGACGCAGCUAAGGACCCACUCGACGUCGACAAGGGCUUGCCAGAUUCACUUUGGGACAGGCCGACAAACGACAAACGCAAACGACGACCCAGCCCAAAAGCAAAGCCAAAAGGCUUGCAACAGAAUCAAAACGAAUCGAAACGGCCACGACAAAAUCAUAAAAGGCAUAAACAGUUGUAAAGACCCAAACCACAAAGGGCGUAGAAUCAAAAUUGAGCACUAAAACGUUAUCGAGGUCGGCGCAGAUUAACUAGCCUUUUUGCUGUUGACUCGACGAUGGACGCCGGCAGAGGAUGGGAUGGCACAUCCCGGCAGGUAGUUCAUUCUGAAAUAUCGAAUGCAUCUUAAAGAUACUUGUGCGACAUUACGAUCAUUACUCUGUGUAACAGAUACGCUGCGAUGGAAAGGGGCAGGGGAAUGGGAAUGGGAAUGGCAAUGGGCAGUGGCUGUAGACAGGUCGACCUGUCGUGUAAUCCGGUCCCGCCCGGCAAUUAUAACCAUAUAUAGCCCCCGCUGGCGACGGUGCCGCGUUGACGACCCACAGCCGAGCUAUUGUCCAAAAAUUGUCAUUCACAACUGUCUCGCCGAUAAGAAACAAUUAUCAGAGGCAAAAGGACUGCGAGGAGAGAUCACAUUGAAUGGCGCCAGUUUCACAAUGAAUCUUGACCGAAAGGACAGGUCUUACGUUAAGAUUUCGUCAUGCCCUUUUUAUACCCUUGCAGAGGGUAUUAUAAUUUCAGUCAGAAGUUUGCAACGCAGUGAAGGAGACGUUUCCGACCCUAUAAAGUAUAUAUAUUCUUGAUCAGCAUCACUAGGAGAGUCGAUCUAGCCAUGUCCGUCUGUCCGUCUGUCCGUCUGUCCGUCUGUCCGUCCGUUUAUAUGCAAACUAGUCUCUCAGUUUUAAAGCUAUCUGCAUGAAACUUUCCCAAAAGUUGUCUUUCUAUUGCAGGUAGUAUAUAAGUCGGAACGAGCCGGAUCGGACGACUA